rfam:Salmo salar isolate Sally breed double haploid chromosome ssa24, whole genome shotgun sequence.
UGAAUGCACUAACUGUAAGUCACUCUGGAUAAGAGCAUCUGCUAAAUGACUAAAA